rnacentral:tRNA from 1 species
GGGGCCAUAGCUCAGCUGGGAGAGCGUCCUGCCUUGCACGCAGGAGGUCAACGGUUCGAUCCCGUUUGGCUCCACCA